rnacentral:tRNA from 1 species
CGGUAUAUAGCUCAGCGGUAGAGUGCGUGCUUAGCAUGCGCGGGGUCCUGGGUUUAAUCACCAGUAUCCCUA